rnacentral:rRNA from 1 species
UAAUACGUAGGGUGCGAGCGUUAAUCGGAAUUACUGGGCGUAAAGCGUGCGCAGGCGGUUCGUUAAGUCAGCUGUGAAAGCCCCGGGCUCAACCUGGGAAUUGCGGUUGAAACUGGCGAACUAGAAUCUGGCAGAGGGGGGUGGAAUUCCACGUGUAGCAGUGAAAUGCGUAGAGAUGUGGAGGAACACCGAUGGCGAAGGCAGCCCCCUGGGCUGAGAUUGACGCUCAGGCACGAAAGCGUGGGGAGCAAACAGGAUUAGAUACCCUGGUAGUCCACGCCCUAAACGAUGUCAACUAGGUGUUGGGGGAGCAAUCUCUUGGUACCGCAGCUAACGCGUGAAGUUGACCGCCUGGGGAGUACGGUCGCAAGAUUA